rnacentral:rRNA from 1 species
AACGAACGUUGGCGGCGUGGAUUAGGCAUGCAAGUCGAACGAGAAAGCCACCUUCGGGUGGUUAGUAAAGUGGCGAACGGGUGAGUAACGCGUGGGAAAUCUGCCCUACAGUUGGGGAUAACACUCCUAACGGAGUGCUAAUACCGAAUGAGACCACGAGAUCGCAUGGUCUUGAGGUUGAAGGUGGCCUCUCCUUGGAAGCUACCGCUGCAGGAGGAUCCCGCGUCCCAUUGGCUUGUUGGCAGGGUAACGGCCUACCAAGGCUUCGAUGGGUAGCUGGUCUGAGAGGAUGGUCAGCCACACUGGGACUGAGAUACGGCCCAGACUCCUACGGGAGGCAGCAGUCGAGAGGCUUCGGCAAUGGGGGAAACCCUGACCGAGCGACGCCGCGUGGGCGAUGAAGGUUGUAAGAUCGUAAAGCCCUGUCAGGAGGGAAGAACUGCCAAUGGGCAAACAGGCCAUUGGUUUGACGGUACCUCCAGAGGAAGCUCCGGCUAACUCCGUGCCAG